rnacentral:lncRNA from 1 species
AAACGCAUCCUAUAUCAAGCAGAUCAACAACAAUUUUAUGCACCAUGUUGAAAGUUUUCUCAUCUAGGACUGGCAAGCACCAGAAUGGCUGGAUCAUCAACAACAAUUUAUGAGCCACUGUGUCUUGGUUUCACUGAAUUGCUGGAUGAUUAGCUUGGUCUUGAAGCUGAAAUUUUCACCUAGAACUGAGAAAAUAGUUAAAUGAAAUAAUGACAUACAAUAAAGUCAACAAAAUACAAGGACAAAUAAACUUAUUUAGUAAUGUCGCAAUUAUAUUUAUUGCCAUGCUAUCACUUUCAUUGCAGACAUCAUCACCAUAAUACUAGCAGUCUAGCACUAAUAGCCAGAAUAAUAAUAAUAAUAAUAAUAGUAGCACGAUUUUUGAAAUUUCUGUAGAGUAAGAUCUAAAAAUGCCAAAAAUAUCAUAUGAAAAAAAAAAAGGUCCAAGAAUUCAAGGAAAGAAAACUCAUUAACAAAGAACCUAACUUUUUAAUCAUGUUUAAUAAACUAAGUUCUUAUGAUUUUCCAUUAUUAAGACAAUUGGUUUCUGCUUUCUAAUGUUUCAAAGCAUACCAAGAAAUAUUAACAAUUACCAAAUCAGUAAGCAGCACAAUUACUUGAUAAGACGUUUGACUUGUCUAACCCAAAAUUGUACCCAAUUCUACACUCUACUAUAAAGCUAAUGAAGCCGAACUUACUUUGACCAAACAACACUAUUAGCUCAGUUAAAGGAAACCACAACUGAAUAAAGAUCAGCUGAAAUAACUAAAUUGAAAAAAGUUCAUAAAACUAAAACUAACUUAUAAUAGUCUAUUAAAGACAUACAAAACAGGAAGAUAAAUAAACAUAGGUCUAUUUUCUUGACACUGCCAAGUUUUGGUUUCAAAAUCACCAUAUUGCAAUAAUAAAUUGUUGUGAUUCCUAAGAUACAAUAUGUAGCAGCUUAUAUGCUGGCAAUCAUAGUCAAAGAAGAUGGUUGUCAAACGUCCUCGCAAAUCAAGAAGCUAAUAAAGACCAGGUCGCGCAACAUUAACAUAUAUCAGUUCUUUGAUAUAAAGAUAUUGAAUGUUAUACACUUCUAAUCCCAAGUCCUGAAACAUAAAACAAAAGUUCACUUCACACAUUCAUAAGGCUAAAGUACUAGAGAAAUGGAGAAUAGACAUGGAUAUGGGUCAAUAAACUAUUAAGCUAAUUAAUGCACACGACGGAAUCUGUUAGAACUAGUUAAAUAGCCCUUACAGAGAACUAGCAGAAGCAUCCAAUUUCCUAAAAGGAGAUAACAGCAAUACUCAUAAAAUAGCUUCACUUACCAUUAAGCAAUAUGCUAGUAUUAACUCGCGAGAUAACAACUGAUGAUUGAUUCAGUUGCACUUACAUAUGCCUAAAGUUUUAACUUUCAAAUUGAUUGCUCCUUGCUCCUUUAUCUAGAAACAUAUUUGACGGUGAUUAAUCCUGACCUCUACCAUGCCAUUCAAUUUUCAUAUUCUCAUAAUCGUAAAUUCAUUUUUAGGAAUAUCAACUCCAUUAUUAAGAGCCCAAACUUGAUCAAACAGAACUAUUAGCUCAUAACUUCAUCAAUUGGAUAAAUAAAGUCACAAUAACAAUGCCGGCGGCUGCUUCAAUACAUCAUCAACAAACCCAUUUUCAUUUAAUCAACAAAAAACCCCGACAGCAUUUUCAACACAUCAACAAACCCAUUUUCAUUUUAAUUGAUAAAACAACGCCAGCAGCAGAGCAACUUCAUCAAAACAUCAACAAACCCAUUUUCAUUUUGUGAAUAUUAUUAGAGUGUAUAUUUUCUUAUUUUCUACCUUUAAUUUAACAAAGUUGGAUAUCUCUUAUAGAGAAAUUAUUAAUUAAUUUUUGUCUUCAUUCAAGAUUGCCCCGUAGAUCGAACCAGCGUCAGUUAACAGACGCUACCGUUGUUCUUAACUAAUAUGGAAGCAGCUUUAUUUGGAGGAUAUGCUGUACUUAUGAUUUAGCUCACGUCAUUAACAAAGAAUUUAGUGGUCCAAGUUUUUGCAGUAGAGUAACUAAACAGCAGUGAUGACCCAGUCAAGUCAAUGUAUAAAUAUUGAAAUGACUAUUAAGGCCUGAGAACCGACCUCAAUUAC